ensembl:lncRNA
AUUGGGGGCAGGAGGAGAAGGGGACCACAGAGGAUGAGAUGGCUGGAUGGCAUCACAGACUCAAUGGAUUGACACUCGACUCCAGUCCCCGGAGAGAAGUGAUGUGGCUGAUGGAGGGGUCGCAGGAAACAGCCGAGCCUCCCGAUGCGCAGCAGGCUUCUUCAGGAACCUUUCCUUUUAGAAGCAAGACAGACAGCAGCAGGGAUUUUUCCUCUGCGCACAGGAGUUUGAUGUCCACAGAUGACCGCCCCCGCCCCCCCAGCCAUGUCCUCAGGUCAUACGUGGCCCUGUUCUCCCCUUGGGCUUUCUCUGCCCAUCCUCCUCCUCCUCUGCCCUGACGUUGCCUGCACAAACUCAAGAGCUUCUCAAAUCAGGACUGACAGCCCCUGGGCUGGUGCCCAGCUCAGUCCUGUGAGAGAGGCAGGUACCAAUGUGCCCAGCCCAGUGCCUUGUUUGUAGUAGGCAUUCAGAGGCUUUUUGCUGAAUUAAAUCAAGGUUGGCAUUCAACAACUUUUUGGCUGAGAAAAAAUUCUUGAGGGAGAUCUCAAAUCUGGAAGAGCAAGUCUGUUGGAAGAAGAUGUGUUGGAAUCUAUUUGUUCCAAUGAGCAAUGGACCUUUCCCGGCAGAGGAAAACUUAGCAGAAAGCUAAGACGUUUAUACUUGAGGCCUUCUACUCGCAAGGGCCCCUUCCAGGCCCUGCACCUAGUUUUGUGCCCGUAAAUUUGCACUGUAUUUCUUACAGAAGCCAUCCAAAGUGGUGUGACCUUCAAGCUUCACAACAUCUGGGUCCACCCCUGGUCCUUGUUCUCCAUCUGUACAAACUCUGCCUAUUUGAGAGCAGAAUCCAAGAAUUGAGUGGAAUCCUGAGAGUUUCUGGUACAUCCCUCAAGCAGGUAGAUCCAUCGACUCCCAGGAACUCUUUUCUAAGGGAUCUGCAAGGGGAGAUGUCACCUCCCCAUUCCCCAUUCUAAUGUCUGACUCCCAUAAAACCAAG